GAAUGCUGACAUAAGUAACGAUAAAGCGGGUGAAAAGCCCGCUCGCCGGAAGACCAAGGGUUCCUGUCCAACGUUAAUCGGGGCAGGGUGAGUCGACCCCUAAGGCGAGGCCGAAAGGCGUAGUCGAUGGGAAACGGGUUAAUAUUCCCGUACUUGGUGUUACUGCGAAGGGGGGACGGAGAAGGCUAUGUUGGCCGGGCGACGGUUGUCCCGGUUUAAGCGUGUAGGUGUGUGUUCCAGGUAAAUCCGGUUCACUUUAACACUGAGGCGUGAUGACGAGGCACUACGGUGCUGAAGCAACAAAUGCCCUGCUUCCAGGAAAAGCCUCUAAGCAUCAGGUAACAUCAAAUCGUACCCCAAACCGACACAGGUGGUCAGGUAGAGAAUACCAAGGCGCUUGAGAGAACUCGGGUGAAGGAACUAGGCAAAAUGGUGCCGUAACUUCGGGAGAAGGCACGCUGACACGUAGGUGAAGUGAUUUACUCAUGGAGCUGAAGUCAGUCGAAGAUACCAGCUGGCUGCAACUGUUUAUUAAAAACACAGCACUGUGCAAACACGAAAGUGGACGUAUACGGUGUGACGCCUGCCCGGUGCCGGAAGGUUAAUUGAUGGGGUCAGCGCAAGCGAAGCUCCUGAUCGAAGCCCCGGUAAACGGCGGCCGUAACUAUAACGGUCCUAAGGUAGCGAAAUUCCUUGUCGGGUAAGUUCCGACCUGCACGAAUGGCGUAAUGAUGGCCAGGCUGUCUCCACCCGAGACUCAGUGAAAUUGAACUCGCUGUGAAGAUGCAGUGUACCCGCGGCAAGACGGAAAGACCCCGUGAACCUUUACUAUAGCUUGACACUGAACAUUGAGCCUUGAUGUGUAGGAUAGGUGGGAGGCUUUGAAGCGUGGACGCCAGUCUGCGUGGAGCCGACCUUGAAAUACCACCCUUUAAUGUUUGAUGUUCUAACGUGGACCCGUAAUCCGGGUUGCGGACAGUGUCUGGUGGGUAGUUUGACUGGGGCGGUCUCCUCCUAAAGAGUAACGGAGGAGCACGAAGGUUGGCUAAUCCUGGUCGGACAUCAGGAGGUUAGUGCAAUGGCAUAAGCCAGCUUGACUGCGAGCGUGACGGCGCGAGCAGGUGCGAAAGCAGGUCAUAGUGAUCCGGUGGUUCUGAAUGGAAGGGCCAUCGCUCAACGGAUAAAAGGUACUCCGGGGAUAACAGGCUGAUACCGCCCAAGAGUUCAUAUCGACGGCGGUGUUUGGCACCUCGAUGUCGGCUCAUCACAUCCUGGGGCUGAAGUAGGUCCCAAGGGUAUGGCUGUUCGCCAUUUAAAGUGGUACGCGAGCUGGGUUUAGAACGUCGUGAGACAGUUCGGUCCCUAUCUGCCGUGGGCGCUGGAGAACUGAGGGGGGCUGCUCCUAGUACGAGAGGACCGGAGUGGACGCAUCACUGGUGUUCGGGUUGUCAUGCCAAUGGCACUGCCCGGUAGCUAAAUGCGGAAGAGAUAAGUGCUGAAAGCAUCUAAGCACGAAACUUGCCCCGA
rnacentral:rRNA from 1 species